rnacentral:rRNA from 3 species
GACAGAGGGUGCAAACGUUGUUCGGAAUUACUGGGCGUAAAGCGAGUGUAGGCGGUUUGAUAAGUCGGAUGUGAAAGCCCCGGGCUCAACCCGGGAAGUGCACUCGAUACUGUCAAGCUAGAGUAUCGGAGAGGUUGGUGGAAUUCUCGGUGUAGAGGUGAAAUUCGUAGAUAUCGAGAGGAACACCGGUGGCGAAGGCGGCCAACUGGACGAAUACUGACGCUGAGACUCGAAAGCGUGGGGAGCAAACAGG